GAUGAACGCUGGCGGCGUGCCUAAUACAUGCAAGUCGAACGCGAGAGGAGGGAGCUUGCUCCCUCUGAUCGAGUGGCGGACGGGUGAGUAACACGUAGGCAACCUGCCCAUCAGCCGGGGAUAACUGCGGGAAACCGUGGCUAAUACCGGAUAAUCCUCUCCACCGCGGGGUGGGGAGUUGAAAGACGGUUUCGGCUGUCGCUGAUGGAUGGGCCUGCGGCGCAUUAGCUGGUUGGCGGGGUAACGGCCCACCAAGGCAAUGAUGCGUAGCCGACAUGAGAGGGUGGUCGGCCACACUGGGACUGAGACACGGCCCAGACUCCUACGGGAGGCAGCAGUAGGGAAUCUUCCGCAAUGGACGCAAGUCUGACGGAGCAACGCCGCGUGAGUGAAGAAGGGUUUCGGCUCGUAAGACUCUGUUGUUAAGGAAGAACGCCAGGUAGAGUAACUGCUACCUGUGUGACGGUACUUAACCAGAAAGCCACGGCUAACUACGUGCCAGCCGCCGCAGUAA
rnacentral:rRNA from 1 species